CUCUCGGGGUUACAGCCUUGCUGAAUUAUUCACCCUUGUCUUUUGCGUACUUCUUGUUUCCUUGGUGGGUUCGCCCACCACUAGGACAAACAUAAACCUUUUGUAAUUGCAAUCAGCGUCAGUAACAAAUUAAUAAUUACAACUUUCAACAACGGAUCUCUUGGUUCUGGCAUCGAUGAAGAACGCAGCGAAAUGCGAUAAGUAGUGUGAAUUGCAGAAUUCAGUGAAUCAUCGAAUCUUUGAACGCACAUUGCGCCCUUUGGUAUUCCAAAGGGCAUGCCUGUUCGAGCGUCAUUUGUACCCUCAAGCUUUGCUUGGUGUUGGGCGUCUUGUCUCUAGCUUUGCUGGAGACUCGCCUUAAAGUAAUUGGCAGCCGGCCUACUGGUUUCGGAGCGCAGCACAAGUCGCACUCUCUAUCAGCAAAGGUCUAGCAUCCAUUAAGCCUUUUUUUCAACUUUUGACCUCGGAUCAGGUAGGGAUACC
rnacentral:rRNA from 1 species